rnacentral:rRNA from 1 species
UACGUAGGGUGCAAGCGUUAUUCGGAAUUACUGGGCGUAAAGCGUGCGCAGGCGGUUCUAUAAGACAGAUGUGAAAUCCCCGGGCUCAACCUGGGAACUGCAUUUGUGACUGUAGAGCUGGAGUACGGCAGAGGGGGAUGGAAUUCCGCGUGUAGCAGUGAAAUGCGUAGAUAUGCGGAGGAACACCGAUGGCGAAGGCAAUCCCCUGGGCCUGUACUGACGCUCAUGCACGAAAGCGUGGGGAGCAAACAGG